ACGCUAGCUACAGGCUUAACACAUGCAAGUCGAGGGGAAACGGCAUUGAGUGCUUGCACUCUUUGGACGUCGACCGGCGCACGGGUGAGUAACGCGUAUCCAACCUUCCCAUUACUGUGGGAUAACCUGCCGAAAGGCAGACUAAUACCGCAUGGUCUUCGAUGACGGCAUCAGAUUUGAAGUAAAGAUUUAUCGGUAAUGGAUGGGGAUGCGUCUGAUUAGCUUGUUGGCGGGGUAACGGCCCACCAAGGCGACGAUCAGUAGGGGUUCUGAGAGGAAGAUCCCCCACAUUGGAACUGAGACACGGUCCAAACUCCUACGGGAGGCAGCAGUGAGGAAUAUUGGUCAAUGGACGGAAGUCUGAACCAGCCAAGUAGCGUGCAGGAUGACGGCCCUAUGGGUUGUAAACUGCUUUUGUAUGGGGAUAAAGUUAGGGACGUGUCCCUAUUUGCAGGUACCAUACGAAUAAGGACCGGCUAAUUCCGUGCCAGCAGCCGCGGUAAUACGGAAGGUCCAGGCGUUAUCCGGAUUUAUUGGGUUUAAAGGGAGCGUAGGCUGGAGAUUAAGUGUGUUGUGAAAUGUAGACGCUCAACGUCUGAAUUGCAGCGCAUACUGGUUUCCUUGAGUACGCACAACGUUGGCGGAAUUCGUCGUGUAGCGGUGAAAUGCUUAGAUAUGACGAAGAACUCCGAUUGCGAAGGCAGCUGACGGGAGCGCAACUGACGCUUAAGCUCGAAGGUGCGGGUAUCAAACAGGAUUAGAUACCCUGGUAGUCCGCACAGUAAACGAUGGAUGCCCGCUGUUGGUACCUGGUAUCAGCGGCUAAGCGAAAGCAUUAAGCAUCCCACCUGGGGAGUACGCCGGCAACGGUGAAACUCAAAGGAAUUGACGGGGGCCCGCACAAGCGGAG
rnacentral:rRNA from 1 species